GGGACAGUAGCUCAGCUGGUUAGAGUACAUCCCUGAUAAGGAUGGGGUCGGAGGUUCGAGUCCUCCCUGUCCCACCA
rnacentral:tRNA from 1 species